UUGAUGACCUAUGAUGAACGUGUACAAACCAUCUCAGUUGGUCUUGUGAUUUAUCUUCAAUUAGUGUUGGUUUCUCCUACUCAUAAAUGUACUCAGUUUUUAUCCACUUCGUGUUUUCCACACAUACAUUUUAGCAUUAUCAUCUCUCACACACUAAUUUUGUGGAUGUAAUGUUUCCUCCAUGCACAAUGCUUGUUGCCAUUAAUAACUGCCAGUUGAAAA
rnacentral:misc_RNA from 1 species